CGCUUCUGGUCCCAUCUGGCUUGGGCCAGCUCCACGGGCAGCAAGCUGGGCUGGAGCUCCUCCCGGGAAGCAAAUGGCAGAAGAUGUGCCUUUUCCAGUUUAUAAUGUGCCAGAAUUUGGUGGAGCAGAGAACUGUGCAAGAGUUUGAAAGAUCCCCCUGGAUCUACUCCAUUUCCUCCUGCUCAUUGUGCAAUUAUGAACUGCAAUGGGAAAGUGAUUGUUCAAUCCAAUACUGAGGCCUCUGUGGAUGGGCACUUCAUUUCUCUCGUAUCUGUUGUAAACGCAAGUCCCCACAUCUAUUCCCCUGGUGCAAUGCUCUCCUGUGCUGCUGAGAAAGUCAUUACCCUUCUCAGGGAAUAGCUACGUGGCAUGCAGUCGUCAAAGGCCUAAAAAGACAAAAAGCUGUUACUUUUGAAACAAGAAGAAAAGAAAUAGGAAAGCAAUUUUUGGAAGCUGCAGCAGUUUUCUCAAGGACAGCUGUAAAUGGAACUCACUGCAUACAAACAGAAGCCAGUACUGAUGACAAGAAAGCAACAAAUAAACAAGUCAACAACAAUGCCAACAAAAAAGUAUUUUGCUGCCAAGAAAAUACUUUAUUUCUCAUUAGCAUAAUUAUUGCUUAGAGUUUCAACUCCAAAUGCCACAAACAAUUUAAAAGUUAUGUUAUGCUUAAAUAUUUAGUCAUUUUUUGGCAAGAAGGCAGGCUUAGGGAGAGCAGAGUAUGAAUAGCAUUGUUGCCUUGUUCUAUAAAGUCAUCUCCCUCAUUAGAGGAAUUACCCUUUUGCAUUGCCGGGCUGAUGGCAGCUCCAAACCUGAUAGAAACCAACAUGAGCCCCUUGAAGUAGAGCUAGCCGUGCCAAGUUGCAGUGGCAGAAGCUUUUAGAUUUUAAGACACAAGAUGCUGAAAACGGAACCAAGGAUUUCCACCAAAAAGAAUUUCACACUACACUUUUCACUCCCAGGGAAAGGUUGGGAGAGGCACAGAGCUAAGAUCUAGUCAAGGAAAAGCCCUUAGAUUUUGUUUUAAAUAGAUAUUGCUUCAUCUACUUCUCAAACCUUAUGGUGUAUGUACACACAAACUAGACAUCGAGAUGGACUGUGACCUGAAGUUUGGUGUCAGCUCAGAAGGAAGCAAAAGAACGAGCAGUUGGAACUCCCUUAAACCAGAGAAAAGAGAGAGGACUGCAUUUCCCAGUCUUCCCAGUCCUUCUCGAGGCACUGCUUUCAAGUGUGUCUAAAAUUACCACAUAACUCUCCAAAUGUAAGCUCAGAUUUAGGCAGUGAAAAAUCUACACAAAGACAGUAAUUUUUACCUUGCCGGAUCCAUUCCCUUUAACUAGGAACAUAGAUACUGGUGUUUUGAGAAAAAAUUACCUUCCUGAGUCUUUUAUUGGACAGCAUAUUUUUGCCUAUAUGCUGCACUUUUUGCUCCUAAGGCUGGUCCACAUCUUUUCCAACAUAAAUUGAAGGAAGCUUUGCUGGUAGCUUCCCUAGGAUUAAGGUUCUGAAGUUGAGCGAGUCAUGUACAAUAGAUCUACCUUCUGAGAAGUGCCAUCAAUUAAAAACAAGGUACGCCGGAGGAAAGUGCUCUGGCAGUGACUCACCAUAGGAAGGACCUUUCAGAGCCAAGUCCACCCUUGUUUUAUUUCAGGGGGCUUCUGGGGCAUUACCUUUGAAAAUCGGUUCUUAGACAUGACAAAUGCUAUCAGCUUAAAGAGCUAUGGACUAUGGUAGGCACCGAAUUGCUGCAAUGCUGCUCUGGCUUUUUCCGAGUCUGUUGAUAGCUGGUGGCUAUAAUUAACAGAGUCCUUUAUGCAAUUACCAUGUCCCUGAGAGAAAUCAAUGCCACAGCAUUGUUUUACCUUCCUCCCUUUACCUAGAAUUCUGUAAAUUCAAAUGCACACGCAGCCACGAACAUCAGGCUUUGAACCAUAUUUUAUAGAGCUUCACUAAUGUAUUACAGUGUUUCAGCUGUAGUACAAGAUGAUGGGGUAUAAAUAUGUAUGCUCGUAUAAUUGCCUGGGGAGACUUCAGGAUUGGAAAUCUUUAACAGAUUAGACAGAUGUUUAUCAGGUAUGACACAGUAUCAUUUAUCCAGUUGGUUGGUCUAGAAGCCCGGUGGAGGUCCCUGUUUUCCUUAUUUUGCAAUGAUUCUGUCCAUGUGGGAUGAUCAUGUUACCUACAAAUAGUUUGGUAAACCGGAGGACCAAUAAAGCUUAAUUGGACUCCUGUGUGGAUUCCCUUACAUCUAAUAAAGUGGAUGGUACUUACAAUUUUUUCAGAAAAAUCAUGUACAGAAAAUACUUCCUCCACAUAGUUUUCUGUUGAUGUAAAUCGUACAGGACCAGAAUACCUCUGAGACCUCCAAAGAUGUGAUUGAAAUUGGCUGUUUAGUACAAUAGUUAUUAGACAAGGGCUGACACACCUACACACAAGCAAGCACAGAGGGUGAUCAGGCGAGCCUUAUUGCACCAUGAAAUCAGGCUGAAAUGCAAAGCUGAUGCAGCAACCUUAUCUGGCAAUUUAACAAAUGACUACUCUGUGGGGGAAACAGGAAGCUGUACAUAAGGUUUUAAUUAUACUGAUUAUGGAGUGGACUUUUUAGUGCAUUGCAGCCAUGAUCUUGUGAUAAUCAGACAAUGCAAAGCCAUCAGAAGCUCUUCUUAACAAUUUGUCAUUUAUUUUGUGUCACUGGAUUAGGGUAAAGGAACCCGAGUGUGCCAAUGUAUCUGAUUUCUUUAUAGUAGGCAUCACUGGUAAAACAACUAAGGACUGUAAUAUGUACUAAGGCCUUAUU